GACGAACGCUGGCGGCGUGCCUAAUACAUGCAAGUCGAACGAGAGCGACCGGUGCUUGCACUGGUCAAUCUAGUGGCGCACGGGUGAGUAACACGUGGGUAACCUGCCCAUCAGAGGGGGAUAACAUCCGGAAACGGAUGCUAAAACCGCAUAGGUCUUCGAGCCGCAUGGCUUGAAGAGGAAAAGAGGCGCAAGCUUCUGCUGAUGGAUGGACCCGCGGUGCAUUAGCUAGUUGGUGAGGUAACGGCUCACCAAGGCCGUGAUGCAUAGCCGACCUGAGAGGGUGAUCGGCCACAUUGGGACUGAGACACGGCCCAAACUCCUACGGGAGGCAGCAGUAGGGAAUCUUCCGCAAUGGACGCAAGUCUGACGGAGCAACGCCGCGUGAGUGAAGAAGGUUUUCGGAUCGUAAAACUCUGUUGUUAGAGAAGAACAAGUGCUAGAGUAACUGUUAGCGCCUUGACGGUAUCUAACCAGAAAGCCACGGCUAACUACGUG
rnacentral:rRNA from 1 species